rnacentral:tRNA from 1 species
GCCUGGCUGGCUCAAUCAGUAGAACAUGUGACUCUUGAUCUCAUGGUCAUGAGUUCAAGCCUCACGUUGGGCC